UACGUAGGGGGCAAGCGUUGUCCGGAAUCAUUGGGCGUAAAGAGCGCGUAGGCGGUCCGGUAAGUCGGUUGUGAAAACUGGGGGCUCAACCCUCAGAGGCCGACCGAUACUGUCGGGCUAGAGUCCGGAAGGGGCGAGUGGAAUUCCUGGUGUAGCGGUGAAAUGCGCAGAUAUCAGGAGGAACACCAAUGGCGAAGGCAGCUCGCUGGGACGGUACUGACGCUGAGGCGCGAAAGCGUGGGGAGCAAACAGG
rnacentral:rRNA from 1 species